AUUGAACGCUGGCGGCAGGCCUAACACAUGCAAGUCGAACGAGUGGCGGACGGGUGAGUAAUGUCUGGGAAACUGCCUGAUGGAGGGGGAUAACUACUGGAAACGGUAGCUAAUACCGCAUACCAGCGGAUGUGCCCAGAUGGGAUUAGCUUGUAGGUGGGGUAAAGGCUCACCUAGGCGACGAACCCUAGCUGGUCUGAGAGGAUGAGCAGUCACACUGGGACUGAGACACGGUCCAGACUCCUACGGGAGGCAGCAGUGGGUAAUAUUGCACAAUGGGCGCAAGCCUGAUGCAGCCAUGCCGCUUGUAUGAAGAAGGCCUUCGGGUUGUAAAGUACUUUCAGCCGGGAGGCGUUACCCGCAGAAGAAGCACCGGCUAACUCCGUGCCAGCAGCCGCGGUAAUAC
rnacentral:rRNA from 1 species